CUGACCGCACGCGGUUACACGAUCCUGGAUCUGAUCCUCCGAUACCGCUGGCGCAAGGUAGAAGCUUCAGUCCAGGUUUUGAACCUCACCGACACCGACUGGCGGGAGACGCAAUACGCGACCGACUCCUGCGUGCGCCGAGAAGUCGGCGUGGACCCGCGCUGUCCGGCCGGUGGUGGCGGCGAAGGCAUCCCCGAUAUCAAUUUCGUACCGGGCUACCCGAUCAACUUGCGUGGCGGGCUGACGGUGUUUUUCUGAUGCCGCCCUCCUCACGGGCCGGGGGAGAGAAUUGACGGGAACUGCCAAACAGAGUACGAGUAUUUAUAUAGUAUGAUGAAGCGGCACAAGAGACAGGGCCUCCGGAGCACGUCUAUAGCCGUCCUGGCCCUUCUCUCAUUUCUGGCAGGGACGAGUUUCGCCUGCUUGCAGAUGGGAGCCGGGA
rnacentral:misc_RNA from 1 species